GGGAAUCUCAGGAACAAGCAUAUAAUUUGUCCAAGAUUUAUUUCUUCUCAGAAGUGUAAGUGCAGUUUUUAAUUCUGUAUAUUAUUUAAUAUUUUACCAAUAAAAUAAACUUCUGACAUAAAAAGUUUGCUAUAAAAACUUUCUGGUGAAAAUUCUGUACACAAACACAUCUUCCAAAUACAGAAGAAUAAACCCUGGGAUAGAUUCAGGUGUAUUUCAGUUGUCAUUGACGCUGCGUACACAUGUCACACGUCCUGACACGUGAGAGCAGCCGUCCCACGAGUAAGUGCCAUGGAGUCCAGAGCACAGGGCAGAGAAGUCCCUUAUUUGUUAAGGGUGACAUCUCUUUGCUCUUCAGGCAGUUUUCCUAUCUCUCUUAUUUUACCUUUAUAACUAAUUUGAGAGGUAUGUAUGCCAGCACCUAUCCCCUAUUAAUAGAAGAAAAAAGUGAGACCCAAGGGAAGAGAGUUGUGACUUGCUCCAAAGUGCACAGUGAAUUUCAUAAGCAGUCCAAGUAAUGGUCAAUAACCAUAUUAGAAGCUAGCAUUUCUUAGGAGUCAGACCAAGAUUAAAUAAAGGAUUAAUUCACAGAGAUUGUUCAAUCACAUUGGCAAUCUCACUAUAUGAGAGAGAAACUUCUCAGAUUUUACAAAUACAGUUUGUUUUACCAUGAGAAGUUCUGUUACAAUUCUCUUCAUAACCAGAAAUGUAAAAGGGCACAUGCGAUUGCAGACUCAUUUUAUUUAGCUUUAGCUAUGUAUUAUCCCCCAUGCCAAUUUAAAGUCUACCGUCACAUUUGAGAUAGCCAUUAGAAUUUAUCUUCAUAGGUAAGUAUUUACAGAAUUCCAUGGAUAUUUAUCACAUUCCCCACUAACUUCACUGCCAUAUGCCACACAGAUGAAAAAUACUACAAAUUCAAAUGAAAUUUUUUUCUUCCUUGACUUUUAAUUCAAAAUACUAACUUAACUGAUGGGGGGGAGUGCAAACAAAGGGAGUAACAAGGCAAAGAAGAAAAAAAGAGAAUGAACUUAACAGAUGACUAGCAUUAAGUUUGUGAAAGAUCCCUCCAGUAGCAGCGAGAAAUGCUUAUCAGAUCUCCUGCUUUAUCGUAUUGACAAGAGCAAAAUGGAAAAGAUUUUUUUAAAACAUGCCAUAUGUUCUUGAUUUUUCUAUUGCAUUAGGGUCAGAGAAACAAAUAAUUGAAAUCUUGAUCUGAUUGUAAGACUUUUUAUCACUAUACUCAAGUCAAAGGGCUGUCCUUGGGGUGCGAGCCACCUUGUGAAGGAAGUUCAUUUAGCAUUUUAGCAACUCUGUUUCUUACUAUUAGGGUGUUUUAAGAUGGACCCGUUAAACUUCCAGCAAAACCUCAUGUUCUGUUAAUAGCCCCACUAACAGUUCCCAGUGUAAUCUUUUAACAUCUCACUAGAAAUACCAAUUAAAGAUAACUGGUGAAAUUGAAUUUUGCUGCUUUUCUCUGAUUUGAAGCAAAACUGGAAGGAGGUACUUCCGUAAACUAGCCUCACGGGCAGAUGGAAGGAAUUGACAAAGAGAUAAAGUGUCCAUAAUCCCAUAUGAAAAUGGGUUGAAGUGGAGAGACGUCCUGGAAAACAAAAGUAUGCGCAGUCUGAGAAGAAGAAAUAUUAGCUUUUUGCUUUUGUCCUCACAGUUGCUCUAUAAUCCUAGAAUAUGUCUUCGAUCAAACUAACUGCUUCUAACUUGAAAUUUUGUCAAGCACAGGACAAAUCCCUCAAAACAGUAAAAACAGACGCUGCCCAUGUCGGUGUUGAGUUGUUUGUUCUGGAAACCCUUAAAAAAGAGCUGUAUGACCCUGAUCAUCUGACCAACUGGAACCUAUGCAAAGAAGCAAGAUUUUUUAGUGCUCCAGGAAGAACCAAGAGUAAAAAGGAAGUCAGAGACCCCACAGAGCUCCCUAGUCCCUUCCACCAUGUGAGGACACAGUGAGAAGUCACCAGCCAUGAAACAGGAAGAGAGCUUUCACCAGAACGCAACCAUGAUGGCACCUUGAUCUUGGACUUCCAGCCUCCAGAACUGAAGGAGACAUGUACAACCAUUUGGAAUUUCUUGGCUUUGACCUGUCAAGUCUCUGCAGUCUUCAAGGAUGGUUGCUGUAGUUACGCCUACCAUCAUAUUCUCCAGUCGUACUUCUACAAUGCAACAUAAUUUACAGACACAGCUUCUCAUAAAGAUUUCCAAAGAUCAGCCCUGAGCUAACAUCUGCCACCAAUCCUCCUCUUUUUGCUGAGGAAGACUGGCCCUGAGCUAACAUCCGUGCCCAUCUUCCUCUACUUUAUACGUGCGAUGCCUGCCACAGCAUGGCUUGAUGAGCAAUGCAUAGAUCCGCACCUGGGAUCCGAACUGGCAAACCCCGGGCCGCCCAAGCGGAACAGCCAAACUUAACUGCUGCGCCACCCGCCGGCCCCAACAAGCUCCUAAUUUUAGGAAACAAGAAAUACAAUUGGGAAAUUAGGAAACAAAAAGAUUCCAAGACAAUCGUAAAGGAAUAGAGAAAAUAGACCUUAGACUGUGUAAGUACUCAAGGCCUUCACUGAAAGGAGAAGAAGGACCUUUCUCAUUGGAUGAGUGUCUUAUUUGUGCAGACUGUAAAGGAAGUGAAUUCUGAAGACAUAGGGAAACGUAGAGUGCCUGAGAGGGCUUCUGGGCAGAGGGAGCAGGGUAAAGCUUGGGAAAGUCUAACGUCUAUGAGAAAUGU
ensembl:lncRNA